GUGUGACAUGGCUCUGUGCCACAUGGAGAAGGAGCACAAUGUCACUUCCGAGGUUUGUCAUGAACACCCUGAUAGAUUCUUCAGGUGAAGUGAGAGGCCUUUCUCCCUGCUGUGCUGUCAAGGCUGAGAAGCGAAAGGAAAAUUCAUGUGUCCUGUGGCAAGUGCCUGUGGUCUCACUACUGCACUAAAUACAGUUCUGCCAGGUUUUGUGUUAGUUGAUAUUCUGUGAAUGGAGUUAACAUCUUCUGAGUUUUCUGGGAGUUUGUAAAUUAGACAACCUGGAGUGAUUCUUUUUGCCCAGCGAGGUAUCUAUGAAAUAGUACAAAACACUACCUAUUGCCUGGCCCCAGGGAUGGGAAAAGGUGAGCUUUCAAAGGGCAAUUGCAAUGAAGGGCAUUGUGGUCCACACUGAAGAUUUUGACUUGUUUCCUGCAGAUGAUGGCAAAUGUUUGGAGAAUUUGGGGAGAGGAGGAAGAGAAUCAGAAUUUUCUUUUCGACAUACCACUGGAGGUUGUAGGGAGGAUGCGUGUGGAAGCAGGAGACCAGUUGGAAGCUGUUGUAGGAGUCGGUAUUUUCCACUCCCAUGCCAGCUUUGGGACCUGGUUCCAUUUCUCCUCAAGGGACAUAUUUCAGGAAAUCUUCCCAUCAACCUGUCCAUCCCAAUCUAUUUUUCUCUUCCCACAAUGUCUCUAGCUUGGACAUCUUCAAGUCAUCUAGCUUUCUUCAAUCACUCCUUAAAAGCAAAAUGUCUUGAACUCUCAUCUCACACAUUAGAAGAAUCCCAGAACUUUCCCAUAUCUCUGAGGGGAUGGGGGACAGUCUACCCAUAA
rnacentral:lncRNA from 1 species